rnacentral:rRNA from 1 species
AUUGAACGCUGGCGGCAGGCUUAACACAUGCAAGUCGAGCGGGGGAGGUUGCUUCGGUAACUGACCUAGCGGCGGACGGGUGAGUAAUGCUUAGGAAUCUGCCUAUUAGUGGGGGACAACAUUCCGAAAGGGAUGCUAAUACCGCAUACGCCCUACGGGGGAAAGCAGGGGAUCUUCGGACCUUGCGCUAAUAGAUGAGCCUAAGUCGGAUUAGCUAGUUGGUGGGGUAAAGGCCUACCAAGGCGACGAUCGGUAGCGGGUCUGAGAGGAUGAUCCGCCACACUGGGACUGAGACACGGCCCAGACUCCUACGGGAGGCAGCGGUGGGGAAUAUUGGACAAUGGGGGAAACCCUGAUCCAGCCAUGCCGCGUGUGUGAAGAAGGCCUUAUGGUUGUAAAGCACUUUAAGCGAGGAGGAGGCUACUGAGACUAAUACUCUUGGAUAGUGGACGUUACUCGCAGAAUAAGCACCGGCUAACUCUGUGCCAGCCGCCGCAGUAACAC